GAAACAUCAAAUCGGCUGAUAAUAAAACAUAUUCUCUUUUUAUAUAUAAAAAUAUCAAUUUGCUAAAGUGGUGGCAAUAAAGUUCAUUAAUUUCUUGAUAAAGUAAUGAGUGAUGUGUGUAUCAUGUGUCACACAGAAUAAUCGUAGUGGAGUCAAAAAACGUACACUUAAUUCGGGUGAGCUGAGUGAUAAUCACCCCUAGAGUUUUAUUUUUUUUAUUUCGCUACAAGAAAAAUCAACAUGUGGGCACAAAUAUUUGUGGUACUGGAUUGGGGUGGCUGUAAGGGCCAUCUGUAACCAAUGAGUAAUAGACAUGCUAUUCGAGAAUACGAUGGGGUGGUGGGCUACUAGAAGAGAAAUAAAGAGAGAGGAGAGAGGCAUGGGAGUAAAUAGAGAUGAAUUUUGAUUUGUUUUCAGGAAAUAAUAAGAAUGGUAAUUUGACGUUUUCAAAUUUUGUAUUUAGAUUUAAAAAUGUUUUCAGAAAACAAAACUAGGUUUUUUUUAAAACAAGAAGCCAAUGAGAACCGAAAACGAAAAAGGCCCUUGGAAACGUAAACGAACGGACACUUUGUUUUUUUAAUUAUUUUUUAUUUAUAUUUUUAACUGGUGUUAGUUUGCCGUUUUCUAAAGUUUCACUCCCCUCAUUGCUCUCUUCCUCUUCUUGAUUCUCUUUAGUCUCUAUCAAUUAUUGUUUCCAAUAAUUCUACUACUCAACACUCCAACUCGAAUUCUCUGUUUGUCAUACAUUUUCAAUCGAUUCCCGGACUGAGUUCACAACUAGAGCUCUAAC
rnacentral:lncRNA from 1 species